rnacentral:rRNA from 1 species
CCUACGGGCGGCAGCAGUGGGGGAUAUUGCACAAUGGGGGAAACCCUGAUGCAGCGACGCCGCGUGGGUGAAGAAGCGCCUCGGCGCGUAAAGCCCUGUCAGCAGGGAAGAAAAUGACGGUACCUGAAGAAUAAUCCCCGUCUCACUUCGUGCCAGCAGCCGCGGUAAUACGUAGGGGGCAAGCGUUAUCCGGAUUUUCGGGGUGUAAAGGGGGCGCAGACGGCGGUGCAAGCCAGGAGUGAAAGCCCGGGGCCCAACCCCGGGACUGCGCUUGGAACUGCGUGGCUAGAGUGCAGGAGGGGCAGGCGGAAUUCCUGGUGUAGCGGUGAAAUGCGUAGAUAUCAGGAGGAACACCGGUGGCGAAGGCGGCCUGCUGGAGUGCAACUGACGUUGAGGCCCGAAAGCGUGGGGAGCAAACAGGAUUAGAUACCCGAGUAGUC